UUUCGGAGCCGCGCGUUCGCUCCGUUGUUCUUUUUGAGAAUCUCCGGGGAGGAAAGUCCGGACGCCGUAGGGCAGGAUUCCUCGCGAAAGCGGGGGAGGGCCGCUUCAAGGCGGUUCGACGGCCAGUGCCACAGAGAAUAUACCGCCUCGGCUUCGGUUGGGGUAAGGGUGAAAAGGUGGGGUAAGAGCCCACCGCGGUUCGAGCAAUCGGACCGGCAGGGUAAACCCAUUCCGGCGCAAGGUUAAAUAGGGGACCUGGGCUGCUCGUCCAUCAAGGGUUCCGGGUAAACCGCGCUACUUCGCAAGAAGGGGCUCCCGCUUCGGCGGGAUGCAGAUAAAUGAACGCGACCUUGGUUUCGGCCAAGGUACAGGAUCCGGCUUACAGGCUCCGAAACUAG
rnacentral:RNase_P_RNA from 1 species